rnacentral:rRNA from 1 species
CCCUUAGAUGUUCUGGGCCGCACACGCGCUACACUGAAGGAGGCAGCGUGUACUCCUGGAUCGAAAGAUUUGGGUAACCCGCGAAUCUCCUUCGUGCUAGGGAUUGAGGUUUGCAAUUAUCCUUCAUGAACGAGGAAUUCCCAGUAAGUGAAAGUCAUAAGCUUGCGCUGACUACGUCCCUGCCCUUUGUACACACCGCCCGUCGCUACUACCGAUUGAAUGAUUUAGUGAGGACUUCGGACUGGGACCGAUGCGGCUUUCGGGCUGCGUCGGUAUUCUGGAAAGAUGUCCAAACUGUAUCAUUUAGAGGAAGUAAAAGUCGUAACA